rnacentral:rRNA from 1 species
AGGAAAAGAAACCAACAGGGAUUGCCCCAGUAACGGCGAGUGAAGCGGCAACAGCUCAAAUUUGAAAUCUGGCCCCCAGGGCCCGAGUUGUAAUUUGCAGAGGAUGCUUUUGGCGCGGUGCCUUCCGAGUUCCCUGGAACGGGACGCCAUAGAGGGUGAGAGCCCCGUCUGGUCGGACGCCUAGCCUGUGUAAAGCUCCUUCGACGAGUCGAGUAGUUUGGGAAUGCUGCUCUAAAUGGGAGGUAUAUGUCUUCUAAAGCUAAAUACCGGCCAGAGACCGAUAGCGCACAAGUAGAGUGAUCGAAAGAUGAAAAGCACUUUGAAAAGAGGGUUAAAUAGUACGUGAAAUUGUUGAAAGGGAAGCGCUUGUGACCAGACUUGGGCCCGGUGGAUCAUCCAGCGUUCUCGCUGGUGCACUCCGCCGGGUUCAGGCCAGCAUCAGUUCGCCGCGGGGGAAAAAGGCUUCGGGAACGUGGCUCCUACGGGAGUGUUAUAGCCCGUUGCAUAAUACCCUGGGGCGGACUGAGGUUCGCGCUCCGCAAGGAUGCUGGCGUAAUGGUCAUCAGCG